rnacentral:rRNA from 1 species
GCAAAACGCGAAGAACCUUACCUACUCUUGACAUCCAGAGAACUUAGCAGAGAUGCUUUGGUGCCUUCGGGAACUCUGAGACAGGUGCUGCAUGGCUGUCGUCAGCUCGUGUUGUGAAAUGUUGGGUUAAGUCCCGCAACGAGCGCAACCCUUAUCCUUUGUUGCCAGCGGUUAGGCCGGGAACUCAAAGGAGACUGCCAGUGAUAAACUGGAGGAAGGUGGGGAUGACGUCAAGUCAUCAUGGCCCUUACGAGUAGGGCUACACACGUGCUACAAUGGCGCAUACAAAGAGAAGCGACCUCGCGAGAGCAAGCGGACCUCAUAAAGUGCGUCGUAGUCCGGAUUGGAGUCUGCAACUCGACCCCAUGAAGUCGGAAUCGCUAGUAAUCGUGGAUCAGAAUGCCACGGUGAAUACGUUCCCGGGUCUUGUACACACCG